rnacentral:misc_RNA from 1 species
UCCGGUUUGACACCGGCAGUCCCGCUAGAGUCCUGCUCCCCGAAGGGAACUUAGCAACUAGCGGCAGGGGUUUCGCUCGUUAAGGGACUUAACCCGACACUUCACAGCACGAGCUGACGACAGCCAUGCAGCACCUGUGCACGUUCCACCCUUGCGGGCGUGGCUCCCCUUUCAGGGAGUUAAUCCGUGCAUGUCAAGCCCAGGAUAAGGUUCUUCGCGUUGCUUCGAAUUAAGCCACAUGCUCCACCGCUUGUGUGAGCCCCCGUCAAUUCCUUUGAGUUUUAGCCUUGCGACCGUACUCCCCAGGCGGUACACUUAUUGUUUUAACUUCGACACCGACGGCGUCAGAGCCUCCGGUAUCUAGUGUACAUCGUUUACGGCGUGGACUAC